rnacentral:lncRNA from 1 species
CCGCUCCUGCACCCCGCUGUGUCCCCAACUGUCCCCUGCCACCCCCCGGUGUCCCCAGAGCCCGCACGGCCCCUCGGUGACACGGGUGACAUGGGCAACAUGGGUGACACAGGGACAUGGGUGACACAGGUGCCACAGGCGACACGGGCGACACAGGUGACACAGGCGACAGAGGUGACACAGGUGACACGGGUGACAGAGGGCACAGAGCUCUUUAUUGCACAGGCAGGGAGGGGACCCAAGGUGUCCCCAGGGCUGUCCCCAGAGGACAGUGCCACCCCAGGGCUGUCCCCAGGGCUGUCCCCAGAGGACAGUGCCACUGCAGGUGUCCCCAAGGGUGUCCCCAGAGGACAGUGCCACCCCAGGGCUGUCCCCAGGGCUGUCCCCAGAGGACAGUGCCACUGCAGGUGUCCCCAGGGCUGUCCCCAGGGCUGUCCCCAGAGGACAGUGCCACUGCAGGUGUUCCUGUGGCUGUCCCCAGGGCUGUCCCCAGAGGACAGUGCCACCCCAGGGCUGUCCCCAGGGCUGUCCCCUCUGUCCCUCCCUGUCCCCUCUGUCCCCUCUGUCCCUCCCUGUCCCCGCUGUCGCUGUCCCGGUCACUUCCUCAGCAGCUGGGCGCGGGCCCGGCCCAGCCGCUCAGCCAGGCCGUCGCCGCCCGGGCCGGGCUCGCAGCGCGCCAGCACCAGCCCCAGCUCGGCCUCGCUGCGCCGCUCCAGAGCCGCCUCCGCAGCCUGCUCCAGCUCCCUGCGCGGGGACAGCGGGACAGCGGGGACAGGGAGGGACAGUGAGGGGACAGAGGGGACAGAGGGGACAGAGGGGACAGAGGGGACAG